rnacentral:lncRNA from 1 species
UCGUGAACGUCUUUUCCUUGUUUAACUUUUGAGAUUGCCAGUUAAUACUAGAAAUUAGAGAUAAUAACCUACAAGGGAUAGUUUUGCACUUCACAACCGACGUUCUACUAUUUUGGCAAGCUAAAAACACACACUUGAGCCGCCCGAGGAGGAACUCUAUAAAGGAAGGAAGGAAAAUAACACCUGGUAAUGAGCGGGGAGAAGCGUGAGGCACGCCCCAUCAUCAUCAGCCAAGAAAAAAAGGAACAUGACGGGCUGCAGCAACCGCCAGCACAGGACCGAGACGGUACAUCCGCAGCAACAACAACAACAACGUUGUCGUCUAUGUUGAGAAACUGCCUCUGGGCGGCACACAAUCCUCCAUGUAGGCCUCUCUUCUUUUCGUGAUAAGAAAUUGUGGGAUGUAUACCGCCGUCCUCUUGUACAUUUUCUUCGGUCAUUCUCUUACAUAUCCAUUCCAUCCGGAAAUGGCGGCCAGUUGUGUUAGGGAGGGAGGCCAUAAGUUCUCGCGUCCGUCCUCCAUCUUCCGUGUCCCUUUUUUUCUUCGUUUACGUAACUGGGAAUCACGCUCCUGGCUCAUCGUCCAGUUACUUCAACUUGGCGGUUUCAAGCGCAGCUCUCUCUCACACACAACUCGGAGAGAGAGAGAGAAGGAGAGGAUGUGAGAAAUUGGACGGCUGCAACUGCUGCAGCACGGAAGAAAAACUCUUGACCAAAAGUGAUCGUGAUUCCGGUGCGGCUGCCGCCGCCGAGAGCGGGCCGGGAGGACAUACGCACACAACCCGACACGAAUCGGAUGUCUAUGAGAUUCUUUAUGUUAUUUUUUCUUCUUCUUAGCUUCUUCUUUCAGUUCUCCCAUAUAACUUUAAUAAUAUAGUUCCCACACACACACACACAAAACGGACGGACGGACCCGUUACGGCUCAUCGGACAAAACGGGCUCGUGUGUGUGUAGGCGUUCGCUGUU